rnacentral:rRNA from 1 species
AUUGAACGCUGGCGGCAUGCCUUACACAUGCAAGUCGAACGGUAACAGGUCUUCGGAUGCUGACGAGUGGCGAACGGGUGAGUAAUUCAUCGGAACGUGCCUAGUAGUGGGGGAUAACUACUCGAAAGAGUGGCUAAUACCGCAUGAGAUCUACGGAUGAAAGCAGGGGAUCGCAAGACCUUGUGCUACUAGAGCGGCCGAUGGCAGAUUAGGUAGUUGGUGGGAUAAAAGUUUACCAAGCCGACGAUCUGUAGCUGGUCUGAGAGGACGAUCAGCCACACUGGGACUGAGACACGGCCCAGACUCCUACGGGAGGCAGCAGUGGGGAAUUCUGGACAAUGGGCGCAAGCCUGAUCCAGCAAUGCCGCGUGCAGGAUGAAGGCCUUCGGGUUGUAAACUGCUUUUGUACGGAACGAAAAGCCCUGGGUUAAUACCCUGGGGUCAUGACGGUACCGUAAGAAUAAGCACCGGCUAACUACGUGCCAGCAGCCGCGGUAAGAC